rnacentral:rRNA from 1 species
GAUGAACGCUAGCGGCAGGCUUAAUACAUGCAAGUUGAGGGGCAGCAUGAUAUACGCGAGUAUAUUGAUGGCGACCGGCGGACGGGUGAGUAAUAGGUAGGAGACCUACCUCAUACAGGGGGAUAGCAUAGAGAAAUCUGUGGUAAUACCCCAUGAGGUUAUAUGAAUAGAGGCAUAUAAUCAAAGCAUAAGCGAUUAUGCGGUAUGAGAGGGGCCUACUGACCAUUAGCUAGUUGGUGAGGUAAGGGCUCACCAAGGCGAAGAUGGUUAGGGGUUUUGAGAGAGAGACCCCCCACAUUGGAACUGAGAGACGGGUCCAGACUCCUACGGGAGGCAGGCAGUAGGGAAUAUUGGGCAAUGGGCGAAAGCCUGACCCAGCCAUGCCGCGUGAAGGAGACGGCCUUAUGGGUUGUAAACUUCUUACUACGCGAAUAGAGGUUAUACGAGAUACUAAUAGGAAGGUAGUGUAGUAAAAGCACCGGCUAACGUCCGUGCC